rnacentral:rRNA from 1 species
GGUUAUUCUUUGGCGCUAAUAGGUGUUGUUAGCCGCCGGAGUACUACGAACACAUGUUUAAAAUUCAAAGAACUUGGCGGUCGGUUAACCUACCAGGGGAACAUGUGCCUUAAUUCGAUGAUCCACGAUGUACCUGACCCCGUCUUGUAAUUUGCUUCUGUUAAGUAAUAUUGUCAGCCGUUAUACCGCCGUUGUUACUUCUUCGUCCAAGUGAAUAAAAGAGGGGGAGGAUGGUAAGGAAAUUAAAUUGUUUUUUACCACGAAGGCAGGUUUAGGCAGCGCCUAAGACGGGAGGGAGUAUGUGUUACAAUCCUGAUUUAGGAUAAAACGGAAUGGGAAGGGGAAGGUCGCCCAGGAAGGUGAACUUGGCAGUAAGGUGAGAGUAAUGAGCUCAUCUGAAGAGACGCAAUGGCCGGCGUUCAAAUCGCCCGUCGCUCUCUGCGAAAGUGGGGAU